AUGUUACUGUUGUUAGAGCAUGAGCUCCCCGGGGACAAUCUUGGCGCCCCCAUGUUUGGCACAGCUCCUGGCAUACAGAAAGAGCAGCAUAAAUACUUGGGGACUUGUUCUUAUCAGAGGAUCAUAAACCACAGAUUUGGUGCUGAAGGGGCCCUCAGAGUCCAUCUAGUCCAAACCCCUCCGUUAUACAACGAAGAUGACUUGCCCUGGAUGGAAACACAGGAAAACUGGCAUUCCAACACAGAAACCAAUGACAGUCUUUCAAUUUGCCUAGCACUGCCCAAGGGGGGCAGGGGACAGGGCAAUGGCCUUUGGAGUUGUCACUUACUCUAGUAAGUGACUUGUGAACUCUCAUACUUAAUGGACUCCCAGAUUGAAGGUAAACGUAGAGAGAGAACAGCUCAUUUCCAAUCCAAGAAGCAACUAAAAGUAAGUAAAAUUUAAUAUCUUCCUGUGAAAGCCAUAAAUUAGGGCAAGAAAAUGAAUGAAAUGCACUUAGAUAUUCUCAUUAAGAGAAAGUAUUGCUUAUAGUCAAAAGAUACAUAAUUAUAUCCUAACUGUUGUUAAAUUUCACCAUUACUUUCCCUCAAAUUUAAGAUCCUGACAGUUAAAGGUGCCUGUAAAAUUUGAGAUUUUAAAUUGAUAACAGUAGUGAUUUUAUAGCCAUUUUUUAUUAAGUUGAAUCCAAAAGGCAUAUUAAGGAUUUCUAUUCAUUUUAAGUCAUUAGAAAACUAACUCCUCUUCUGAUAAGUGGCAUACAUAAAAUUUUAAUUACUUAAUUGGACACAAUAAUUCAAUAACCUACAGGAUCGAGAUGUCAAUUGCCAAGUAAAUUCUUCUUUAAAAGAAGUAUACAAAUAAUUCUCUUACAUAAAAGAGAUGAACUCUGAGAAGAUAACUUCUUCACCAAAGUCAUCCCAUUUACUGAAAUCGGCCAUAUUCUACAUUAAAGAAUUAGAAGAGACUUUAAAUUUUGCACUUGUACUGGAUAAGCUAAAAAUAUAACAAUAUUGCUAUUAAUGGAUCCUGUAUGAUCUUAAAAAAAAGUGCUAAUAUAUUUAAGAAAAAGUCAGUGGAGAGAGUUUGAACAAAUAGGAACUAGAGAAGAAUGGGUAAAAAGUUAAAUGAAAGUUGCCAUCUAUUUGCACUAACACAGCAUGAAUAAAGAGUUUGAAAGUAAACA
rnacentral:lncRNA from 1 species